rnacentral:tRNA from 1 species
UUCCCUGUGGCUCAGUUGGUAGAGCAUGGUGUGUGCAACACCAGGGUUAUGGGUUCGAUUCCCACUGGGGGGC